GUACACGCUGUGACUAGCAUAUCAAUAAGCGGAGGAAAAGAAUCUAACAAGGAUUCCCCUAGUAACGGCGAGUGAAGCGGGAAGAGCUCAAAUUUGAAAUCUUAAAGGGUUUCCCUUUACGAAUUGUAGUUUAAAGAAGUGUUUUCUGUUAAGGUUUUGGUAAAAGUUCUUUGGAAUAGGACAUCAUAGAGGGUGAGAAUCCCGUAUUUGACCUUUACUUUCAACUUUGUGAUACACUUUCAAAGAGUCGGAUUGUUUGGGAAUGCAGUCCAAAAUGGGUGGUAAAUUUCAUCUAAGGCUAAAUAUUGGCGAGAGACCGAUAGCGAAUAAGUACCGUGAGGGAAAGAUGAAAAGAACUUUGAAAAGAGAGUUAAACAGUACGUGAAAUUGUCAAAAGGGAAGCGUUUGACACCAGUAUUGUUUUUCUGAAAAUCAAUUAAAGAACUGUUUAUGCUAAGUUGUUUAGACUUUAUCAGCUAACUGUUUAGUUUUGAGCUUUUCUUUAAUGCACUUUUCAGUUAACAAGUCAACGUCAAUUUCUUUUGCUGUAAAAAAGCUUGAGGAAGGUGGCUUGAGAUUCGUCUUAAGUGUUUAUAGCCUCUUGCCUAUGCAGUCGGAGAGAUUGAGGUCUGCAGCGUAGAUCCUUCGGGGCUAAAUGCAUUUGUGCUAAGUUAUAGCAUUUUAUAGACAACUUGUUGACUAUGAUUUGUCUUGUAGCUUACUCGCUUAUGUUAUUUUACCUACGCUUAGGAUGUUGACGAGACUGUCGAUCUC
rnacentral:rRNA from 1 species